CACAUUUAUAAUUUGAAUCUAUUGUUUUAAUUUUUAUAUAAAAUUUGUCAUAUUCGUUUUUUAAUAUUACAAAUGCGUAUAUAUAUGUACUAAAAAGUAGCUAUAUAUAUAUAUUAUAUAUAUUUGCAUGCCACCGCAUAACACCAUGUAUUAUUAAGUAAAAAAAAAAAAAAAAAAAAAAAAAAAUAUAUUUGAAUAUGUUAGAUUCAUUACUGAAUGGCUUGCAAAACAUUUUUAAUAACCUCAUAUUAUUUACAGAAUUUGAAUAUUUUUAAACUUGAAAAAAAAAAAAAAAAAAUGACCACUUGUGGCUAUAAAUAACACUAGACACACAUAUGUACCAACGUGCUUAUGUAAAAAAAUAAACGUAUAUAUAUAAACGUAUAUAUAUAAACGUAUAUAUAUAUAUAUAUGUGUAUACACAUGUUUAUGGGCAUACAUGUAACUAAUCAUAUAUGAAAACGUCUUUUUUCUUUUUUUUUUUUUUUUUUUUUUUUUUAAGUAUACUUAAGUUUAAUAUGUAGCAUUUUUUAUUUUUUAUGUUCUACUAACACGACAGCUUCAUAUAUAUUUAUAAACGGACGAGGAAACAAGCACAAUAACUAACAUUAAACGCGUACGACAAAAGAAAAUAUAUAUAAAAUAUUGAAGAGACACAUAAAUUAGAUAAAACGAUCGUAGCUAGCAAUAUAUGGUGUUAUGAUAAAUAUAAGAAGCAAAAUACCUUUCUUUAGAAAAAUGGGUGCAAAAAAUAGUAAAAUCACAGAAAAUGGCAUAUUUGAUAUUGAUAAUGAUAUAUAUAACAAUCGGCAUAAAAAUAUGAAUUAUCACAAUCCUAAUGACACAAACAACUUAAAAUAUAAUUUAAAUAAUAUAAGAAUGAUGGAUGAUGACGACAGAAAUAGUAUGAAUGUACAUAUGAACACGCACAAUAACAACAUGGGAAACGUAAAUAAUCAUAAUAAUGUUAACUACAAUAAUAUGAUGCAUACAGGAGAAUUAAAUGCUUUACAUAUGAAUAUGGACACGAAAACGAAAACGAAAACAAACACAAACACAAACACAAACACAAACACACUACAUAACAACAAAACAAAUAUACAAAAUUACUAUAAUUCAAAUAAUAUAAAAAAUAAUGACUUAAAUAUGUAUAAUGAUUUUCAGAAGCUUAAUAAAGACAAUAUGAACUUACAUAAUAUACCUAACAAUAAGAAUGACACACACGAUUAUGAUUUUCUAAAAAACAAUAAUAAUGCACAACCAUAUAGUUAUAAUAACAAUAAUAACACUAAUAAUAACGCUUAUAAUAAUAUGGAAAAUGUGAACAACACACGGAACAAACACGGUAAUAUAAAUGAUAUAAUAAAAAAAUACAUGGAUACUGAUAGACAAGAACCAAAUGCGAAACAAAUAUAUAAUCAAAUAACACAUGAUACCAAUGACAUUCCGUACGAACAUAACAAAUAUAAUACAUAUAAAGGGUUGAUAAACAUGAAUGAUAAAAAUUUAACAAACAACAAAAUGACUAAUCAAACAACUAAUAAUAAUUUAUUAAACCCUAAUAUAUUAAAUAAUUUUAAAAAUAAAAAAAAAGAGAAUGAUGAUUAUAUAAAAGAAAAAAAAAUAAGUCUUUUAAAAAAUAUUAUAGUACCUAGUAAAAACACAAAAUAUGAUUUAAGUUUUAAUGAUGAAUUUUAUGACAGUUUCUUAGCUGAUAAUAUAAAUUUGAAUAAUAGUUCGAUUGCCGAUUAUAACCUAGGUCAUGUAGGAAAUUAUAACAAAACAGGUAAUAAUAAAAACGGUAGCGACAACGCUAGUUUGAAAAGUAACACAAACACAAACACUAACAUGAACAUGAACAUGAACACUAACAUGAACAUGAACAUGAACAACAACGGAAACAAUCACGGAAACAAUCACGGAAACAAUCACGGAAACAAUCACGGAAACAAUCACGGAAACAAUCACGGAAACAAUCACGGGAACAAUCACGGGAACAAUCACGGGAACAAUCACGGAAACAAUCACGGGAACAUUCACGGAAACAAUCACGCGAACAUUCACGGAAACAAUCACGCGAACAUUCACGGGAACAUUCACGGAAACAAUCACGGGAACAUUCACGGAAACAAUCACGGGAACAAUCACGGAAACAAUCACGGGAACAAUCACAGAAACAACAACAACUACGACUACAACCACGACCACGACUUUAACAACUACAACAGAAACAAACACAACACAACAAACUUACAUACGAAUAAUAUAUAUAAUGAUAUACAUAUGGCGGAAAAACUCAACAAGACUCCCAAUAUUGGUAAUGUACAUAAUAUACAUAACAGAAAUACAUUGAAUGACGAUUUCACAGAAAAUGAUAUUUCUAAUAGUAUAAAUAUGUACCAAGAUCAUAUACCCCAUCAUAUGCUAGAUAAGAGUAUCGAUAAAAAUUUAAAUGAUUAUGGUUUUGGACACACAAAUGCGAACACUAAUAUUAUAAAUAACAUACUAAACAAUAAUAACACAUUAACGAACAAUAAUAUUGUUACUAAUCAACCUGGAGGUUAUAAUAAAAUGAAUCAGAUGCAUACCUAUAGAGAUGCACAACCAGAAUUAAACAAAGACCAUAUUUUAAAUGGUAUAAAUUUAUACAAAAACCAGAAGCAAAAAACUGAUUGUGUUCGCAUGAACAACCUUAAUAUUUAUAACAAUGCGAACCCACAUAAUUAUAUCUCCAACCCUAGUACAAUUUCAGUAAACAAUACUAAUACAAAUCAUAUAAACACUUUUAAUAAUAAUAAUAAUAAUAAUACGAAUUGGCAAGACAAAAACACUUACACUUAUAAAGAUGCAAAAAUGGAAGAAAGAAAUGCUUAUACAGAUAAGGCUAAGGCUUAUACAGAUAAGGCUAUAGCUUAUACAGAUAAAAUGAAUAUGUUCAAAUUUACAACAAUAAAAGAUAUAGGCGGUGCAAAUAACUUUAACAUAAAUGAGAAACUAAAUAAUAAUAAUAAUAAUAAUAAUAAUAAUAAUAAUAACAACCAACAACUUAAAGGGGAAUAUGAUGCAUAUAGCAUAUUAUCUAUGAAUAAAAAAAACAAUAUCCUUGAAAAUAAACCUCUUUUAAAUAUUCAUACAUUAGAUUAUAUGUUUAAUAGAAACGGUAACAAUACCAACACUACGAAUACUGCUUUUACAAGUUGUGCUACAUCUAACACCGCUACAUCUAAUACCGCUUCUGCUAAUACUGCUACUACGAAUAGUGCUACUACUAAUGUCAACAAAGAAAAUUACUUCAACUUGAAUAAUAACAAUUACAAAUAUAGGAAUAUAAAUAAUAAAACUUCAGACAUUACAAAUAACAAUUUAUAUUAUAAUCCAAACGACACGGGUUUCAGUAUAUUAGACAAAUUACAUAAAAAACAAAUAGAUACAGAUUUUAGUAAGAAUCCUUUAAACAUUCACAAUAAUAGUAAUAAUGAUGGUAUAAAUAGUAAUUACAAAAAUGAAUUGUAUAACAACAAUAAAUUUGAGAAAGACAAUAACAAUAGUAAUGCUUUUAAUAGAAACAUACAUUUUAAACAUUUAACCAAUAAUAAUACUAUUAAUGUUGAUGCAGCCACUGCUACUGCUACUGCUACUACUACUACCGCUACUAAAACUAGUGCUUCUUCUUUUGUUGCUAAUUCUUUCAAAAACAACGACAACAAUAAUAUGCGCAACAAUAAUUAUAACUAUAAUUAUAAUUUACUGUCAAAUAAUAAAAACGAAAAACCAAAUGAACAAAAUCAAACACGACUUAACAGCGAAUUAAAUCUGUUUAAAAACGAUAAAGGUUAUAACUACAACUACGGUACCAAAACAUAUGAAAUAAAUAAUGACAAUAACAAACAUAAUUUAUUUUCGAAUUAUAUAAAUAGGGAUGAUACUAAUAAACGUAAUAGUAGUAAUCUUAUUAGCACCAUUAACACGAAACUAAAUAACCUACAAUCUGACUCUGAUACAAACACAAAUAUUUUUAGCAACAUGCAUAAUCAUCAACAUAGUUUUACAAAUCAGAUACAAAUGAAAAAUGUAGAAACAAAUAAUAACACUUUAUAUAAUAAAUUUAAUAUCAAUUAUAAUAAAAGAAAUAGUAAAGAGUGGGAUAUUGAUGUUAUUAACACGUUAGACCAUGUACAACAUAUGGAUGCUAAUCCGUAUGACAAUUCCACCCCUUACAAUAUUAAUAACAACAUCACAUUAACUAGCCCUAAUGUAUACAAUCCUAAUACUAACCUUUUAGGUGUUAAAAAUACAGAAAAAAAUGAUUCUUCCACGUUUUUCAAUUUUAAUACUAAUAAAAAUGACAACAUAACUCCUACUCGUUUUAAUAUAUUCAACAAUAAUGACUUAGCUAGUAAUAACACAUUUGGAAAUGACACAAACGACGAAUAUACAAAAUACUCAAACUUGCUUAACACUAAUAUAAGUAAAUAUAAUAACAAUAGUAGUAAUAAUAACAAUAGUAGUAAUAAUAACAAUAGUAAUAGUAUGAACGAAAAAAAUAGUUUUAAUUAUGUACCAAAAGGGUAUGAAUCGAAAAAUAAUAUUUUUAAUGCAAAUCUUAACAAAGAGUUACCUCCAUUACUGCUUAAAAAUACAACUGACUACGCUAAGCUGAAAAUUGUUGAUAACCACAAUACGAAUCAUGUUACUAGUCACGUUGCAACUAAUUUUAUUACUAACCAAUCGAAUAACAAUAACACUAAUAGUAACAUUACUAAUAGUAAUAUUACUAAUAGUAAUAACCGCUUGAACAAUUUAUUAAAUUGUCAAACGCCUAUGACUAAUAUGAAUUAUGAAAAUUCACACAUCUCAAUUUUUAACGGAUGCAAUAAUAAAAAUAAUUCUUUGUUACGUAAAAACAUGAACCAAUUAUUACCAGAUACAAAUAAUGACAAUGUACAUAACAGUCAUACUAUUACUAAUACUACUACUACUACUAGUAGUAAUAGUAGUAACAAAAACACACUUUACACACAACAGUAUUUAAACAAAGACACAAAUAACUUAUUUUUAAAAAAUAAUGUAACAAUGUUAAGAGAAUAUAAUAAUGACUAUGACAAUAACAGCAACUACCAUAAUAACAUUUUUAAAAACACGACACAUAAUAACAAAAAUGGCACAAACGACAAAAACGGCACAAACGACAAAAACGGCAAUAACGACGAUAUGCAUAUCCAAAAAAAUAACAUAUUUAAUCAUAAAGUCGAAUCAAAAGAAAAUACACUAAGUAACAAUUUAUAUUCUAACCUUUUAAACAAACAACCAAAAAGUACAACUGUAGAUACGAAGACAAACGUUUUAUACAAUGACAUAAAAAAUAAGUUUUUAAGUAAUGACUUAAUGCAUAAUAAUAUAAAAGAUAAUGCAUAUAACACUAAUAGCAUUUUAAGAAAACAUAUGCCAUAUGAUGGAAAGAAUUUCGAUUACAACACAACACAACAUAAUGGCAACUUAAGUAUCGAUUACAUGCAUAACAAUAUGCAUAACAAUAUGCAUAACACUAUGCAUAACAACACACCUACUAGUAAUAACAAUAUCAAUAGUAACAAAAACAUGCUUAACAAUAAUAACGCAUACGCAAAUUUUAAUUAUAACGGUAUGAAUGGAUUAAGCAGAUACAGUCAUAAUAAGGACUUAAGUUUGAGUAAUAAUAUAUCUCUGAUGUUAGAAAACAUUAGUAACGCAUCAGAUAAAAAUAAUACUAAUAACUAUAAUAUUAACAACAAUAAAGAAAAUAAUACUAACCAUGAAAAUAAUACAGUAUGCGUUAAUACUGUUAAUUAUAAUGACAAUAUAAAUAUUGAUACAAGCAAUUUUGUUAUAGCAGAUAACUGCAUUUGUAGUUUUGGCUUAUAUAAUAUACAUAGAUGUAAAUUAAAACAUGAAAAUGUAUCAUUUAUGGUUAAUAUAAUCAACUCUUUUUUUUUGAAUAGUUCCAAUGGAAAUGAUUUUGUUGCAAAUAAUAUUUUAUUUCAUAAAAGAUUAAGACAUAUAAAUAUAUUAUCAUAUAAAGGAAAAACAGCUGAUCAAAAUAAACUAUACUUAUUGUUUGAACAUAUUCAUGGUAACAUUUUAAAGUCGCAUACUACACCUAUCGAAGAAAGUAUUAUUGCUUCUUAUGCAUAUCAAAUUAUUGAUUUACUUGAAUACAUGCAUACAAAUUUUAUUAUAUUUCACGGUUUACUAUCAAACAUAAUUUUUUUACAAAAAAACACAAAAGAGGAGUUGGUGCAAAUUCUAAAUGAAAAAAAUAAAAACGUAAAUAAAUAUUUUGAUAUAUACAAACACGGAAUUAUAAAAGUUUUUAAUUUUGACUUUGCCAGUAUCGACGCAGAUGAAACAGAGUGCUACAUUUCUUCAGCUGAUAAAGAUUAUGAGUUUGAUUUUCUUUGUGUGGCCGUUUUGAUAUACGAAAUGUGCACCAAAUAUAAUACUUAUUACUCCAACGAAUUUAAACAUAUUUCGGAUACCAUUCAUAACACCAAUUUUUAUUUCCCACAUUUUGUAUCAUUUGAAUUGAAAAAAUUUUGCUAUGAGGUAAUACCUAGAUAAAUAGAAAAAUAGAAAAAUAGAUAAAUAGAUAAAUAGAUAAAUAGAUAAAUAGAUAAAUAGAAAAAUAGAAAAAUAAAUAAAUAGAUAAAUAGAUAAAUAGAAAUGAU
rnacentral:lncRNA from 1 species